rnacentral:snRNA from 1 species
GUGGUCACUUCUUCAGCACAUACAAUAAAAUCAGAACAAUACAGAGAAGAUCGGAGCAGCCCCUCCACACCACGUUGGCUGGAAAUCUGUGAAGAGUUCAGUAUUUUC